UACGAAGGGGGCUAGCGUUGCUCGGAAUUACUGGGCGUAAAGGGCGCGUAGGCGGACAGUUUAGUCAGAGGUGAAAGCCCAGGGCUCAACCUUGGAAUUGCCUUUGAUACUGGCUGUCUUGAGUACGGGAGAGGUGUGUGGAACUCCGAGUGUAGAGGUGAAAUUCGUAGAUAUUCGGAAGAACACCAGUGGCGAAGGCGACACACUGGCCCGUUACUGACGCUGAGGCGCGAAAGCGUGGGGAGCAAACAGGAUU
rnacentral:rRNA from 1 species